rnacentral:rRNA from 1 species
AAAUUGAAGAGUUUGAUCAUGGCUCAGAUUGAACGCUGGCGGCAGGCCUAACACAUGCAAGUCGAGCGGAAACGAGUUAUCUGAACCUUCGGGGGACGAUAACGGCGUCGAGCGGCGGACGGGUGAGUAAUGCCUAGGAAAUUGCCCUGAUGUGGGGGAUAACCAUUGGAAACGAUGGCUAAUACCGCAUGACGCCUACGGGCCAAAGAGGGGGACCUUCGGGCCUCUCGCGUCAGGAUAUGCCUAGGUGGGAUUAGCUAGUUGGUGAGGUAAGGGCUCACCAAGGCGACGAUCCCUAGCUGGUCUGAGAGGAUGAUCAGCCACACUGGAACUGAGACACGGUCCAGACUCCUACGGGAGGCAGCAGUGGGGAAUAUUGCACAAUGGGCGCAAGCCUGAUGCAGCCAUGCCGCGUGUGUGAAGAAGGCCUUCGGGUUGUAAAGCACUUUCAGUCGUGAGGAAGGUAGUGUAGUUAAUAGCUGCAUUAUUUGACGUUAGCGACAGAAGAAGCACCGGCUAACUCCGUGCCAGCAGCCGCGGUAAUACGGAGGGUGCGAGCGUUAAUCGGAAUUACUGGGCGUAAAGCGCAUGCAGGUGGUUUGUUAAGUCAGAUGUGAAAGCCCGGGGCUCAACCUCGGAAUAGCAUUUGAAACUGGCAGACUAGAGUACUGUAGAGGGGGGUAGAAUUUCAGGUGUAGCGGUGAAAUGCGUAGAGAUCUGAAGGAAUACCGGUGGCGAAGGCGGCCCCCUGGACAGAUACUGACACUCAGAUGCGAAAGCGUGGGGAGCAAACAGGAUUAGAUACCCUGGUAGUCCACGCCGUAAACGAUGUCUACUUGGAGGUUGUGGCCUUGAGCCGUGGCUUUCGGAGCUAACGCGUUAAGUAGACCGCCUGGGGAGUACGGUCGCAAGAUUAAAACUCAAAUGAAUUGACGGGGGCCCGCACAAGCGGUGGAGCAUGUGGUUUAAUUCGAUGCAACGCGAAGAACCUUACCUACUCUUGACAUCCAGAGAACUUUCCAGAGAUGGAUUGGUGCCUUCGGGAACUCUGAGACAGGUGCUGCAUGGCUGUCGUCAGCUCGUGUUGUGAAAUGUUGGGUUAAGUCCCGCAACGAGCGCAACCCUUAUCCUUGUUUGCCAGCGAGUAAUGUCGGGAACUCCAGGGAGACUGCCGGUGAUAAACCGGAGGAAGGUGGGGACGACGUCAAGUCAUCAUGGCCCUUACGAGUAGGGCUACACACGUGCUACAAUGGCGCAUACAGAGGGCGGCCAACUUGCGAAAGUGAGCGAAUCCCAAAAAGUGCGUCGUAGUCCGGAUUGGAGUCUGCAACUCGACUCCAUGAAGUCGGAAUCGCUAGUAAUCGUGGAUCAGAAUGCCACGGUGAAUACGUUCCCGGGCCUUGUACACACCGCCCGUCACACCAUGGGAGUGGGCUGCAAAAGAAGUAGGUAGUUUAACCUUCGGGGGGACGCUUACCACUUUGUGGUUCAUGACUGGGGUGAAGUCGUAACAAGGUAGCGCUAGGGGAACCUGGCGCUGGAUCACCUCCUUA